GUUCUGUGUAUACAGUGAUUAAGCACAUAGGUUCUGGAGCCAGUCUGUUUCUUUCAAAAUCACCUCAUUGCUUUUGAAGAAUCAGGGAAACCCCCAUGAGACUACAGGUGUGAAGCAAGAUAGAAGCAUCAGUGCAAAAGAGGACUGCAUUUCCAAAUAAAGCCACUCACAAUCUUUAAUCAGGCUGUAAAUUUUAAGAAAUCUGGACCAAGACAGUUUGCUCCAAGAGUAUCCCACAAAUGCAGAUCUUCAGAGUGAGAUUUUAUUAUUGGAUUGCUCACCUGUCUGUUGGUCCUCUAAUCUGAUGGGACACUCCCGCAAUGAUGCUUCAGCUGUAUUUUAACCUCAAGAAACCCUAAGAUCCCUCACUCCUAUGCUGCUGUCAACGGGAGGCUAAGAAGCACAGAGAAAUAGGCCAUACAAAGUCUACCUCUCUGAACACUCUGGUACUGUUUCCUUGCAUAUCUGAAUACCUGCAUCACAUUCAAAUCUAACUCACUGCCUUAAUUUAAUAGCUGAAAGAAACACUGAACAAGUCACACUCCUGCAAGGGCAUGGAACACAGAAUGGUUCUCUUACUGAGAUACCUUGGAACAUGGUUUGAAUAAUAUUGCUCUAACUUCUUUCAUGUCAGGAAGCUCUGAGGUAGACUUGCGGAAAUGCCUGCUACAUACAUGCGUGUUGAACAAUGAACUUCAUAACUGACAUAUUUAUCAGAGAAUCAGGAUGAGAGAAGGUGCAGAAACACAGAAAGGAAGAGGAUUAGCAACUUUCCCAGAUCUGAGUUGAGCUGAGAUUUGAGUCAAGGCAAUAUUGCUUCUGGGGCUGUAACAACUACAUUUUAUUGUCUCCUGAACAGAUACUUCCUUUUCUUACUUAAUAAGAAU
rnacentral:lncRNA from 1 species